UACGUAGGGGGCAAGCGUUGUCCGGAAUCAUUGGGCGUAAAGCGCGUGUAGGCGGCCCGGUAAGUCCGCUGUGAAAGUCGGGGGCUCAACCCUCGGAUGCCGGUGGAUACUGUCGGGCUAGAGUGCGGGAGAGGCGAGUGGAAUUCCUGGUGUAGCGGUGAAAUGCGCAGAUAUCAGGAGAAACACCAAUUGCGAAGGCAGCUCGCUGGAACGUAACUGACGCUGAGACGCGAAAGCGUGGGGAGCAAACAGG
rnacentral:rRNA from 1 species